AUUGAACGCUGGCGGCAGGCCUAACACAUGCAAGUCGAACGAGUGGCGGACGUGUGAGUAAUGUCUGGGAAACUGCCUGAUGGAGGGGGACAACUACUGGAAACGGUAGCUAAUAACGCAUAUACUCAGAAGUGUCCAGAUGGGAUUAGCUUGUUGGUGGGGUAACGGCUCACCAAGGGGACGAUCCCUAGCUGGUCUGAGAGGAUGACCAGCCCCACUGGAACUGAGACACGGGCCAGACGCCUACGGGAGGCAGCAGUGAGGAAUAUUGCACGAUGGACGCAAGCCUAAUGGAGCCAUGCCGCAUGUAUGAAGAAGGCCUUCGGGUUGUAAAGUACUUUCAGCGGGGAUGCGUUACCCGCAGAAGAAGCACCGGCUAACUCCGUGCCAGCAGCCGCGGUAAUUC
rnacentral:rRNA from 1 species